CAUUGUCGAAACCGAACGGAGGAACGACCCGCGAACAGUCAUUGCGACCCGAAGGGGGCGCGCGGGCGCGCCGCGCUCGCUCGCCCCGCGUCGCGCCGGCGCGGGCGUGCACUCGCCUCGCGUCGCGCCGACGGAAAAACGACCCCAGCACGGAUCGUGCCAAGGAGCUGCACGGGGAGAGUCGUCGUCCCACGCCUUCGGUCCCCCUCGACGCGGGACGGGAGGCGGGGGGCGCGCGCGAUCUCUGAUGAAAAAGUCUAAAUGACUCUCGGCAACGGAUAUCUCGGCUCUUGCAUCGAUGAAGAACGUAGCGAAAUGCGAUACUUGGUGUGAAUUGCAGAAUCCCGCGAACCAUCAAUUCUUUGAACGCAAGUUGCGCCCGAAGCCAUUCGGCCGAGGGCACGCCUGCCUGGGCGUCGUGAAACCCCUCGCCCCAGGGCGCCCGUGUCCGUGCCCGCGCGGAUACGGGGGAACGCCCGGGCGCAGAACGUGGCCUCCCGUGGGAUCGGCGCGCGCGGCGCGUCGGGUCGCGGUUGGCCGAAAAUCGAGCACGGAGGUGACGGGCACCGCGGCGUUCGGUGGAUCGAACGGGAUUGGCUGCGCCGCGGUCUCGGAACGCGUCCGGCUCCGGGCUUCGACGGUCCCGAGUGCGA
rnacentral:rRNA from 1 species